CGGCAGGUGGGAGGAGCCGGCAGGUGGGAGUGGGCGGAGAGUGGACCCUGGGCAAGAUGGCGAGUUCCCGCGGCCUGACUCCAGCUCUGGCACAGAGGAGCCACUCUGAGAGAAAGGCAGCAGCCUGCAAGGUUGCCCAAAGGGACCCUGCCCUUCCUUAGACCCCGUCUCUGAACCGUGACCGUCUCAUCCCAGUGUAAACACCACUGUCACCUGGCUGACCUAGGUCCCUGAGAGGCUGGAGACCUGACCGCCACCACCAGGGGGCAGGAAGCAGCAAGUUCACCUCUCCUCGUCUCCAGAGACCUAUUUUAUUUGAGAGAGAAAGAGAGCAUGGAGAAGGAACAGGUGGAGAAGGACAAGCAGAUCCCAUGCUGUGCACAGAGCCUGACAUGGGGAUCCAUCCCAGGACCCUGAGAUCAAGACCUGAGCCAAAAUCAAGAGGCAGAUGCUCAACCAACUGAGCCACCCGGGCACCCCGGUAAGGCAAAAAUCUUAAGUGUAUCAUUUGAUUCAUUGUGUCAGUGCAUACAUUUGUGUAACCCAGAUCUCUAUCAUGAUACAGAACGUGACCCCCAGAAGAUUUCUUCUUGUCCCUACCUAGUCAGUCUCUGCCCCAUCCUCCAGAGGCAAUCAUGGUUCUUAUGUUUUCCUCACAGAUUAGUUUGGUCUGUUCUGGAACUUCCUAUAAAUGGGGUCAGACAGUUUGAACUUA